CUACGGAGGGCGCAAGCGUUAAUCGGAAUUACUGGGCGUAAAGCGUACGUAGGCGGUGAGUUAAGUUAGAUGUGAAAGCCCCGGGCUCAACCUGGGAACUGCAUUUAAAACUGGCUCACUAGAGUUGAGUAGAGGGGAGUGGAAUUUCAGGUGUAGCGGUGAAAUGCGUAGAGAUCUGAAGGAACACCAGUGGCGAAGGCGACUCCCUGGACUCGAACUGACGCUGAGGUACGAAAGCGUGGGUAGCAAACGGGAUUAGAUACCCUAGUAGUCC
rnacentral:rRNA from 1 species